UAUUCUUCUUGUGAUUCUCCUGAUGAUAUUUGUUUAUUUCUUCUUGUUGUUUGUUAUUUCUUUCUCGUGCUUCGUAUAUGUUUUAAUAUCUGCUGAUGAAGAAGUAUAUUCUGUGUGCUGUAUAUGCAGCAGCAGCAGCAGCCUCAAAAGCUGGCUGGCAAGCUAUUUUUCUUAUUCCCAAUUCCCAAAUAUGAUGACCUAAACGAAAGAUAACGCAAAUGA
rnacentral:ribozyme from 14 species